rnacentral:rRNA from 1 species
GCACCUCGAUGUCGGCUCAUCACAUCCUGGGGCUGAAGUAGGUCCCAAGGGUAUGGCUGUUCGCCAUUUAAAGUGGUACGCGAGCUGGGUUUAGAACGUCGUGAGACAGUUCGGUCCCUAUCUGCCGUGGGCGCUGGAGAACUGAGGGGGGCUGCUCCUAGUACGAGAGGACCGGAGUGGACGCAUCACUGGUGUUCGGGUUGUCAUGCCAAUGGCACUGCCCGGUAGCUAAAUGCGGAAGAGAUAAGUGCUGAAAGCAUCUAAGCACGAAACUUGCCCCGAGAUGAGUUCUCCCUGACUCCUUGAGAGUCCUGAAGGAACGUUGAAGACGACGACGUUGAUAGGCCGGGUGUGUAAGCGCAGCGAUGCGUUGAGCUAACCGGUACUAAUGAACCGUGAGGCUUAACCUUACAACGCCGAAGGUGUUU